rnacentral:misc_RNA from 1 species
UCCGCGUUGCGCGCGGCAGUCUCGCUGGAAAAAUACAACCAGCGACAGGGGUUGCGCUCGUUAGGGGACUUAACCCAACACCUCACGGCACGAGCUGACGACAGCCAUGCAGCACCUGUGCGCGCGUCCCUUGCGGGCACGCCUAUCUCUAGGCGGUGCGCGCGCAUGUCAAACCCUGGUAAGGUUCUUCGCGUUGCAUCGAAUUAAACCACACACUCCGCUGCUUGUGCGGGUCCCCGUCAAUUCCUUUGAGUUUUAAUCUUGCGACCGUACUCCCCAGGCGGUCUACUUAUGCGUUAGCUGCGACAGAGAAAGGGUCGAAGCUCCCUCUAUCUAGUAGACAUCGUUUACAGCGUGGACUAC